rnacentral:tRNA from 1 species
AGCAAUAAGAAAUAUAUAUUCACCUUUGGCUUACAAGACCAAUGCUCUUUACUUAAGCUAUUAUUGC